rnacentral:rRNA from 1 species
UACAGAGGUCUCAAGCGUUGUUCGGAUUCAUUGGGCGUAAAGGGUGCGUAGGUGGCGCUGUAAGUCGGGUGUGAAAUUUCGGAGCUUAACUCCGAAACUGCAUUCGAUACUGCGGUGCUUGAGGACUGGAGAGGAGACUGGAAUUCAUGGUGUAGCAGUGAAAUGCGUAGAGAUCCGGAGGAAUACCAGUGGCGCAAGCGGCGCUCUGGGUCGAGCCUGACACUGAGACGCGAAGGCAUGGGGAGCGAACGGG